rnacentral:RNase_P_RNA from 1 species
GGUGGCAGGUGAGCAGCUUACCGAAAGGAGGAAGCUCCUCCCAUACAGAGCGCACAUGGCCCAAGGCCUAAUCCGGAACAGAAACGAUACCGGAGCGAUGCACAAAGCGAUGACACGACGAGCGCAUCGUGACGGAUGAAACGCGCCGGUGCGUGCGCAGUGAGUAUGCAAGGCCUUACGGCCGCUCAGUCGAAUGCUGCAUAAAACAGAAGGAGGGCUACGGCCUGCCACU